AGCGAACGCUGGCGGCAGGCCUAACACAUGCAAGUCGAACGGAUCCUUCGGGAUUAGUGGCGGACGGGUGAGUAACACGUGGGAACGUGCCCUUUGGUUCGGAACAACUCAGGGAAACUUGAGCUAAUACCGGAUGUGCCCUUCGGGGGAAAGAUUUAUCGCCAUUGGAGCGGCCCGCGUCUGAUUAGCUAGUUGGUGAGGUAACGGCCCACCAAGGCGACGAUCAGUAGCUGGUCUGAGAGGAUGAUCAGCCACACUGGGACUGAGACACGGCCCAGACUCCUACGGGAGGCAGCAGUGGGGAAUCUUGCGCAAUGGGCGAAAGCCUGACGCAGCCAUGCCGCGUGAAUGAUGAAGGUCUUAGGAUUGUAAAAUUCUUUCAGCGGGGACGAUAAUGACAGUACCCGCAGAAGAAGCUCCGGCUAACUUCGUG
rnacentral:rRNA from 1 species